GGGAGGAAAAUGUGACUGGGUGGUUCUGUAUGACUGCUGAUGUCAACUAUCAACUGCUGACUUGGACUGUUAUGCUGUACUGUUUCAACCCGAGUAUAUUCGAGGGACUGCUCAUAUUGACAUUAUCAUCCAACUUCUUUAAUCCCCGUGUCAUGCUCACCACACCGAAGCUCAGCAUCCCACAGGAAGAGCAAUUUUAAAGAUCUGAGGAGACUCAGUCCUCCUGGCCACUCAUCUGUGCUGUUGCUUCAUGUCUGAGCUCUGGCAAAUGGUGAGCAGAUUAAAAUGAUAGUCCCCAUCAUGUGCCCACCUUGGAAGUAGGUUGAUUAUUUCAGUUCCAUCUGCAGCACUGGAGAAAGGCCUCAGUCAUGACUUCAGGUGAGGGGAGAACAGCUUAAACCUGCCUUCGUGAUGCCAAGCUCAAUGAAAACAAGAUUAACCGCAAGACAGAGUAAGAUACAAGUUGCUUCUCAGCUGGAAACUAUGGAGAAACUGUAAACAUAAAGCCUGUUGCUGCCAGGGAGUUGUUUGUUUGUCUGUUUCCUUAACGAAGCUGUUCUUCAGGAUGGAGCCCUGCGCUGCCCAUCGCGCAAUGGUAACCUUGACCACAGCCCCUGUUGUGAAAAACACAGUGCUCAGCGAGGGGCAGGAUGUGACAGUCACCCUUAUCUUCACCUGUGUAUUUUUAAACAUCAAUAAACAGAUGUUUUUCAGGGCAAAAAGGAAUGUGAACAAGCCCUGUUCGCAAGGCUUUUCCUCAUGGUCAGGCAGCUGCUCCUGCCUUUGGCAUCAUAGAGAGAAGUGGGAUGGUGGGCAGGUGUUUCUGGCUCCCAGGUCUUCUGUGUUUCCCACAAAGCAUGUUGUGUAUUUAAGAGGCUGGCACUGUCAAGUUCAUGCCAUGCUCCUGCCUCCUGUCAAAUUUCCCAGUUCUGCAUAUGGUGAAAAUUUCACCUCGCUAAAAGGCAGCUGCUGGGAUCCAGGACAUGCUUUCAUGGCAGCAAUUCAAAUUUCCUGUUAGGUAUGAAAGCCAGGGGCUUCUUCUGAGCUUAGCAAGGUCCCCAAAAUAGUUUUCUCCACCUCUAGAGUUAAGAAAGAGCAAUAACUUUUUGUUAGCUCCUACUCCAGAUCUCUCUAUGCCAGAAAAUAAGGAAGUUAAUUUUCUUCCUAAGAUUGCUGUGUGUCACACCCUCAUUACAACAUCCUUCUACAGGAACAUUCCUGUGCGUGAGAAGGAGAAAACUGAAUCUGAAGUGACUUUACAUGGCCUAACUCUGGUCAAAAUUUCUGUCAGCAGUUACUCCCAUGCGUAGCUAUUGCUCACAGGUAGAUGUGAAAUGGGAGUUAAUGUUCAUCUUCUGCUGUCAAAAGGGCUUGAAAUGUCAGAAUCAAAAGACUAUGUCUGAGAGAGGAACACUCUCUGUACUGGUGAGUUUGCUUAAUUCACAACUCAACAAAAGAAAUAAUUUCUAUGCCAUGCACAUAAACACCUUUCGUGAACCAUCCCAGUGAUUAAUACACUGAAGAACGUGUCAGUUGCAGCUGGAGCCAUUGCAGUGUUACAGUCACUAGAAGGGCUGUCAUCACAAGUGACGAUCUUAGGGAACAUUUCUCAACUCUGCUUUCUGGAAGAGUGGGAUUAGACCAGCCUCCUGCCCCAUGCACUCCUAGCAGAGCACCCGGCUGCCUGUGUGCAAAGGGAUGCUUGCUCUCUCUUUGGGAAGUGAGCCACUAGCACAAGGCUGUGGUGCCAGCCCCUCAGCAUGUUAAAUAUAUUUUUGUCAGUCUGAGACUUUGAACAAUGGCUGUGAUGAAUGCUGAAUUUUAAAACAGGGCUGUGCUUUCAUUCAAACUAUAUUGUCUUAGGAAGUUUUAAAGACCUGCUUUGUACUCUAGGUAGGAAAAGCCAACACUCAUAAUUUGAUGGAGAUUCUAUGUGCUUUCCCUGAAAUAAAGACCGGAAGCAGAAAGCCAGGUGGAAUCUCAUCUUUACCAACGCUUGGAAGCUGGGUAUGUUGUACCAAUAAAAAGGGGACUGUUAGAUACCUCAAGGGGCUAGCACAUGUGUAGAACUAUACAAUGACACAAAAUGUUCAAGUCUGACCGAUUUCCUUCAGAGGUGAUAUUUUUUCAAGAUGUUAUUUUCAGGCUGCACAAAGAGCGGGAAUCUCACAUGUAGUGUGGACAAAGCUGCCACUUUAAAAAUCAGCCUCAUGGUGCUGCUUGUCAUGUGAAAGUUUCAGCUGAAUGUUAAUGAGGAAAAUCUGUUUUCAGUUAAGCCAAUGUAAACUCAGGGAAAUUUAACCAGGAUUGGUGAAGACACUUCAGAUUUGCACCAUAGCACAAGUUUGAUUGGAACAUUUGCUUUCAUGUAACUUUUGCGGCUUUAUUCCAUUCAUUAUAUAUGACCAUAAUUUAUGGAGGUUCCACAUGCACAUGCAAGUUAAGGCAAUUUGGUUUCUUUUAUUAAGCUAUGAGUCUGUUUUAUAAUCAAAGUAAAUCAGGCUCAUUUGCACACCAAAAAAUCUUGGUGUGGAUUUCUGUCUGUGGGAGUGGAGACGAAGUAUCUUGCUUGCUGACUCUAGCCAAACUGCACGUUUAGCUUACCCAGUCAAUUUUUACGGUGACUCAGUGCAACUCAUUUGCUCUAGUGAGAUAUGCAAAUGCUAAUUUUUGAGUGCUGUAUUCAAAUGUCAUUCUUACCAAUGCACGUAUGAAUUAAAAUGAAGGACUCCAGUAAUGUUACACUGGAGUUUCACCAUGAUAAUUAAGAUGCAAAUAUGGCUUGACACAGUGGAAAGGAAAAGCCAUAAAGCAGAUCAUAUCAUGAAGCUGUAGAUUUCCACAUUAUCUUUGUCCUGGCUGUUACUUAACACACUCUGACCCGCUGACUGUCCCAGAGCAAAAGCACCAAGAGAAGAUGUCUUCAUCAGUACCACUUGGUCUCCUUCCCCAAAGGUCUGAGCGCUGACAUGCAUGACAGAAAACCUGAGGUCCUAUCUCAUCUCUGACCCUUUAAAUGCUGCAUUGACAAAAUAUAUAUAAGCCCUGUUCUUUUGAGCCUGCUGUGUGAGCUAAAACACAGUAGCUCUGAGUUAGUUACCAACUCAUUGUGAUUCUGACCAAGUGACUGUGUUUCGCUGUGUUAAGGACUGGGUUGUUCCUUAAAUGAUGGAUUCUGUGCUAGGAACAGUAGGAAUUUCAUUGCUGAGGAUGUGGGUCCAUCUGACUUUUAGCUGAAGGGAAACAGCCUGCAUCCUUGUAACUCCUUUAUGCGCAGGGGAAACAUGUGCCCUUCUUGCCAUGUGCUGCAUUCUGUUGACCUGCCCCUGCCCCUGCACCCAGACCUGCCCCACGUAUCUCCCAGAUGGGAAGGAAUGGAGCAAUCCUGUUUUUCCCCUAAGCAGUAGGAUGAAGGGUUUCUGGCUCUAAAGAGCUUGGUUGGAGUUAGCUGAUCCAUGUCAGCAGAACCAUGAAUGCAUUUAUGAGUUUAGUGCAGAAAAACAUCUCUCAGAGGUUCCUGAGAUCUCUUUUUUCAUGACAUGUUAUCCUAGAUAAAGUUUUAAGAAUUGACAAGCUCUCCGUCGACUUGAUGUCAGAUUGCUAUCAUGUCAGGGAUAUUCAUACAGAGGUAGCAUACUUCUUUCCAGGCUCUGAGGUCCGUGGCACCUUUCCUUCUUUAUCAGAAACUUUAACCUUUGCUGGUUAUUUUGCUAUUCCACAAAAGGAAUAACUCUUCGACACAGAGGCCUCUCUGGGGCUGUUUGCCCUUUUCUGUGUGGUAAAAUGGGUUUUCAUUCCUUUCUCCUUUGUGAUUGUAGAAAAUUUCCACCCCCUUUCCAGGAAAACAAGGAGAGGUUAAAAGACAACCAUAUUCAAAUUUUAGAGACAGCAGAGAUUUUUUUAUUAGUGAGGCCUUUUCACUCCUUGGGAACUCUCCUGAGUGGGGUCAACAUCUGACCAUUGCUGCAGAUUGCAUCUCAAAAAAAACAAUUUACUAAUGGAAAGACAUCUUUCCACAAAAAUCAUUCAAAGAUAGCACUGUCUAUCGAAACAAUGAAUAUGUGAACAGAUAAAAAUGAGAGACCAUAAAUAAAGCAUGCAACAUCUUAUUUCAGAUUGCCACAGGUCAGCCUGAAAGAGUUGACAGCUCUUGGAAAGGCUUUGCAAAACAUUAGACAACUGUAGCUUCAACUCCUAAAUGCCUUUGUUUAUCUGGGCCAACAUCCAGAACUCAUACAAAAUAAUUAUCUACCAACACACAGACUGUUCUCUUGCAACCCCUAGACAUACACAUAUAGCCAUAUCAGAUCCUUAUUAUUCCUCUUAGAAGUCUCCUGUAGAGAUGACUGUUGACUUUGAACAAGGUUAAUGAAUGCUUAAUCCUCAAGCUAAUGGCAACUCCAUUCUUGAACUAGGAUUUUUCAGAUAAGACAUCCUAUUUUAUUACUGAGAAACAUGUCAGGAGAAGAUAUUUACAAAUUCUGAAAACCUGACAUUUCCUCACUGACUCUUCCCUUUAGAGUAAAUAUAUUUAAGUGGAUGAUGGAGCGAUGUAACAGAGUGUGGUGCAUUAUUUGCUGCUUCUGGAUACUCCUGCUACACUGGUUCUAAUAUGUCUGUAUAAUAACAGUAGUCCCUACUGAGUAGCUCAUACCCCCUUCCAAAUCCUUGUGACUAGUAUUCUGCAGGGGAAGAAUUAUGCAGUGGGAAACUCGCAUUUUUCACUCGUUUUUUUAGCUUACUUUAUUUAGAGAGACUGGGACUUUUCAAUGCCAUCUGGAUGAGAUGUUCUUCAUUCCUAACACUCUGUCCUGCAUGUUGCUUUUGUGCUUUUUUGUGCAGCCAUGCUGAGUUUCAGAUAUGACAUAUGAAGUGCUUACAGCAUAGAUAUAGCUAUGUACAAAGCAUAUAGGGGUCUGGAAACCAUCUUGAAAGAUACAGGAAGACAGUGAGCACAGUGAGCACACCACUGGAGUAGGAUCUGGGAGACCUGGCUUUUAUUCUUGGUUCCGCCAUAGACCAUCCAUGUGAUAAUAGGCAUAGAAGUCACUACAGUUAUCAGUCUCUGGUCUAUUCCAUUUAGGCUGUAGAUUGGUUUCAAGAACUCUGAUAUUUAGCACGGUACUUAAAAUGGUGUGUCACCUUUUCAGAUGAGUCCUCUAUACAUGAUGUUGCCAAUAAAAUUCUCUUAGAGUUCCAUAAUCAUGCUGCUUGCUCAUUUCUUGAAUUUAAUACACCAUUAUCAUCAUAGUCAUUAUUACUGUUAAAUUCUAGACUUAGAUUUUCUUGAGAGAUAUUGUUCCAUUUUCAUUGUUUUUUUACUCAGGAUGAAGCUUCCUUUUAAAAACUACCAGUUAUUAUCAGUAAGACAUCAGCUGCCCUGGAUGAAGAAGAUACGCCAUCUGAAACUAUAAUCACUAGUGAAUUCCCCACCAAAUAAACGCAAUAGCUACACUGUUGAUGCAAAAGACCUAAUGUAAAUGAGAAAAAACCUCACAACUGCAGCAUACUGUGUAGUAAAGACAAGUGUCAAUAUAACUUUGGAAUAUUAUAAUUUUCUGGUAAGGGAAAGAGCAUGGAUAAGUCCUGCCAUGCAUUUAAUUUCAUGCACAUUCAAAUGGCAUGCUGGGCAGAAGAAAGACAUAUAUGAAUCAUGUGAGAAAAAUUUUAGAAGCCAGCUAAUUGGCAAGACAAUUAAAACAGGGGAAAACAGGUCAGAACUAGUCUGAGCUACUAUUUGUUCAAACUAUCUGAAGGUAGGUUUAAGAAGAGAAUAAACUACAUUCAGGGUAAGGACAGGAUGGAUUUAGGUGUACUUAGAAUGUGUGUCAUUCUCUGUAAAAGAAAUCACUACUAGGGCUGUAGCUAAUAAUGAACCAAAUCCUUGGCCUGGAUUUCAAGGCACACAUGAAUACACAGGGAUGGGGAGAGUCUUUGAAUUUCAUUUCUCACUUUCUCUUCUAUGAGAGCUGUGUUGGUUCCUACAGAUAUUUUAUUCAUCUGGAUAAACAUUAAUACCGUGGGGAAACUCUGUCUCAGGCAUAAGACUUCCAAUAUACAGCCUCAGUGUGCAGUUGAGGUAAAGUUACAGACUGCUAUUAGGAUGGGAUUUUAGACCAUCUUGUAUGGGUCCUACUUGGCAACUAGGCAAUCUAGCCCCUUUCCUGACAGGAUUUUCGUGGAGUCAAGUAACAGGAAAACAUACUGAGGUGGCUGUUCAGGUCACAUUCGAGCAGGACCUGCAGGACUCGAUCUGGAACAUGAGACAUCUCACCAAACGGGCAGAGUACAAAGCUCACACUGAUAAUGGCAUUUUUGUUCUGUUACAAAUUCCUCCUAUAUUGAAAACUUCAAAACGUUUACAGGAUUUUUGUGAAACUGGCAUGACUAGUGAUGGUGCAAGAUUUGUGUCAAAACCACAUGACAUCUGUGAUAUUUUGUAUUUGAGCGGAAAUCUCAUUAAAUGUAAUUUUAGGAGUAAGUCUGAAUUUUUCACUACUCGUUCAAAAUUUAAAUUAAGAAGCGAAUGUCCAAAGAUCCAGUUCAUAGGUUGCUAAUUCAGGCUUUGCUCAGAUAGAACCCCACUGCCAUAAAUGCUGUCAUACUACAGUUACACCAACGUAGAUCAGAAUAAGGUAAAGACAUAAGAAUGAAAACUGGAGGUAUUAUUGAGAUCUCAGCAUGAUGCAUCUCAAUUAAAUGUAUGUCAAACAUGAAUCAAAUGGAUCUUCAGUAAUAAUGCAUUCUAAAACAUCCUUUGUCUAAAAAGGAAACUCACUAAUUUAUCAUGCUUAGAUAUAGUCUUUCUCUAUAGAUCAGGAAAAUUAGAAUACUUCUAUCAACAGUAAUAUUUAGCAAUCUUUACCAACAGUGUGAAGAAUACCUAUUUCCAAAUUCAGUCAUUUUCCUAUUUAGAUGUAGUUGAGAUCAAGCUUGCUGUGUCACAUGGGUACUGGGGAAAAAUAUUUAGUGUACAUUCCAUACAAAAGACAUAGAAGCCAUUACUUUCAUAGCAUAAAAACAUAAAAAACAAUUGUAGAAAUUAUCUUAAAUUAUGUGGAAUAGUAAAAAGCAAUCUGACAUACUCUCAAUUUAUCCCUGUGAUUAUCAUCUUUGCACUGGAUUGCAAAGUUAUUCUUCACCACUGACAAAGUACAGCAUAUUAUUCCCUUAAAUUUCCAUACAUGCUCAAGAUUUACUUAUUCGUAAAUUAUCAACUGAUAAGGAUACAGCACUUCAACCAAAUAAACGAGCUCAAUCCAUCAGACCAAGCCAUGGCCCACCAAUAUAGAGGGUAAACUUUUUAACUUAAAUCUUGUAGGGAGAAAUCUUGAUAGUACUUGGUAAAGAUUGUUUAUCCUGACAAAAUGAACACUGUGGCGAGAUGAGGUGUGUGGCUAUAAAUCUGUGUUGGGGAUCAGCUUGAGGACUGUGAAGAGCUAUUUCUGUUAAAAGAAACACAGGUGUCAGAAAAAGUUAAUGUUAUCCUUAAACACAUUAAGUCUAGAAAUGAGAAAAUGGUUUCUGAACUUCAAUGUAGUAAUAUUCUGGAACUGUUUUUAAACAGGAACGAUCACUUACACCCUUAGCGUUGUGAAAGUUGCUGCAUCAUUUUGUAGAAGUCCCCUCAAGUAUGAUUGCACCUGAAGAACAAAAAGAUGUCCUUCCAGUCCUUCUCCUAGCAAAACUUUGGUGCAGCAUGUCCAUGUUACUACUUGGAAACAAAUCUUUGAAGAUGUAGCUUGGUAUAUGAACCUAUAUGAAGCUGACGG